rnacentral:rRNA from 1 species
GCACAAGCGGUGGAUGAUGUGGAUUAAUUCGAUGCAACGCGAAAACCUUACCACCCUUGACAUGUCCGGAAUCCCGAAGAGAUUUGGGAGUGCUCGCAAGAGAACCGGAACACAGGUGCUGCAUGGCUGUCGUCAGCUCGUGUCGUGAGAUGUUGGGUUAAGUCCCGCAACGAGCGCAACCCUUAUCAUUAGUUGCUACGCAAGGGCACUCUAAUGAGACUGCCGGUGACAAACCGGAGGAAGGUGGGGAUGACGUCAAGUCCUCAUGGCCCUUAUGGGUAGGGCUUCACACGUCAUACAAUGGUCGGUACAGAGGGUUGCCAAGCCGCGAGGCGGAGCCAAUCCCACAAAGCCGAUCGUAGUCCGGAUUGUUCUCUGCAACUCGAGAGCAUGAAGUCGGAAUCGCUAGUAAUCGCAGGUCAGCAUACUGCGGUGAAUACGUUCCCGGGUCUU